CAGUAGCCACGGUAAUACGUAGGGUGCAAGCGUUAAUCGGAAUUACUGGGCGUAAAGCGUGCGCAGGCGGUUAUAUAAGUCAGAUGUGAAAUCCCCGGGCUCAACCUGGGAACUGCAUUUGAGACUGUAUGGCUAGAGUGUGUCAGAGGGGGGUAGAAUUCCACGUGUAGCAGCGAGAUGCGUAGAUAUGUGGAGGAAUAUCGAUGGCGAAGGCAGCCCCCUGGGACAACACUGACGCUCAUGCACGAAAGCGUGGGGAGCAAACAGGAUUAGAGACCCCUGUAGUCCCUGUCUCUUAUAC
rnacentral:rRNA from 1 species